AUUGAACGCUGGCGGCAUGCUUUACACAUGCAAGUCGAACGGUAACAGGGUGCUUGCACCGCUGACGAGUGGCGAACGGGUGAGUAAUGCGUCGGAACGUGCCGAGUAGUGGGGGAUAACGCAGCGAAAGUUGUGCUAAUACCGCAUACGUACUGAGGUAGAAAGUGGGGGACCUUCGGGCCUCACGCUAUUCGAGCGGCCGACGUCUGAUUAGCUAGUAGGUGAGGUAAAGGCUCACCUAGGCGACGAUCAGUAGCGGGUCUGAGAGGAUGAUCCGCCACGCUGGGACUGAGACACGGCCCAGACUCCUACGGGAGGCAGCAGUGGGGAAUUUUGGACAAUGGGCGAAAGCCUGAUCCAGCCAUGCCGCGUGUCUGAAGAAGGCCUUCGGGUUGUAAAGGACUUUUGUUGGGGAGGAAAUCCCCAGCGUUAAUACCGCUGGGGGAUGACAGUACCUGAAGAAUAAGCACCGGCUAACUACGUGCCAGCCGCCGCAGUAAGAC
rnacentral:rRNA from 1 species